AAGACUGGGAUAACUCCGGGAAACCGGGGCUAAUACCGGAUAAUAUUUUGAACUGCAUGGUUCGAAAUUGAAAGGCGGCUUCGGCUGUCACUUAUGGAUGGACCCGCGUCGCAUUAGCUAGUUGGUGAGGUAACGGCUCACCAAGGCAACGAUGCGUAGCCGACCUGAGAGGGUGAUCGGCCACACUGGGACUGAGACACGGCCCAGACUCCUACGGGAGGCAGCAGUAGGGAAUCUUCCGCAAUGGACGAAAGUCUGACGGAGCAACGCCGCGUGAGUGAUGAAGGCUUUCGGGUCGUAAAACUCUGUUGUUAGGGAAGAACAAGUGCUAGUUGAAUAAGCUGGCACCUUGACGGUACCUAACCAGAAAGCCACGGCUAACUACGUGCCAGCAGCCGCGGUAAUACGUAGGUGGCAAGCGUUAUCCGGAAUUAUUGGGCGUAAAGCGCGCGCAGGUGGUUUCUUAAGUCUGAUGUGAAAGCCCACGGCUCAACCGUGGAGGGUCAUUGGAAACUGGGAGACUUGAGUGCAGAAGAGGAAAGUGGAAUUCCAUGUGUAGCGGUGAAAUGCGUAGAGAUAUGGAGGAACACCAGUGGCGAAGGCGACUUUCUGGUCUGUAA
rnacentral:rRNA from 2 species